CAGCACCUCAAGUGGUCAGGAUGACUAUUGGGCCUAAAGCAUCCGUAGCCUGCUUUGUUAGUUUUCGGUUAAAUCCAUACGCUCAACGUAUGGGCUGCCGGGAAUACUGCAAAGCUAGGGAGUGGGAGAGGUAGACGGUACUCGGUAGGAAGGGGUAAAAUCCUUUGAUCUAUUGAUGACCACCUGUGGCGAAGGCGGUCUACCAGAACACGUCCGACGGUGAGGGAUGAAAGCUGGGGGAGCAAACCGGAUUAGAGACCCGAGUAGUCC
rnacentral:rRNA from 1 species